rnacentral:rRNA from 1 species
GGUUAAGCGACUAAGCGUACACGGUGGAUGCCCUGGCAGUCAGAGGCGAUGAAGGACGUGCUAAUCUGCGAUAAGCGUCGGUAAGGUGAUAUGAACCGUUAUAACCGGCGAUUUCCGAAUGGGGAAACCCAGUGUGAUUCGUCACACUAUCAUUAACUGAAUCCAUAGGUUAAUGAGGCGAACCGGGGGAACUGAAACAUCUAAGUACCCCGAGGAAAAGAAAUCAACCGAGAUUCCCCCAGUAGCGGCGAGCGAACGGGGAGCAGCCCAGAGCCUGAAUCAGUGUGUGUGUUAGUGGAAGCGUCUGGAAAGGCGCGCGAUACAGGGUGACAGCCCCGUACACAAAAAUGCACAUACUGUGAGCUCGAUGAGUAGGGCGGGACACGUGGUAUCCUGUCUGAAUAUGGGGGGACCAUCCUCCAAGGCUAAAUACUCCUGACUGACCGAUAGUGAACCAGUACCGUGAGGGAAAGGCGAAAAGAACCCCGGCGAGGGGAGUGAAAAAGAACCUGAAACCGUGUACGUACAAGCAGUGGGAGCCUCUUUAUGGGGUGACUGCGUACCUUUUGUAUAAUGGGUCAGCGACUUAUAUUCUGUAGCAAGGUUAACCGAAUAGGGGAGCCGAAGGGAAACCGAGUCUUAACUGGGCGUUAAGUUGCAGGGUAUAGACCCGAAACCCGGUGAUCUAGCCAUGGGCAGGUUGAAGGUUGGGUAACACUAACUGGAGGACCGAACCGACUAAUGUUGAAAAAUUAGCGGAUGACUUGUGGCUGGGGGUGAAAGGCCAAUCAAACCGGGAGAUAGCUGGUUCUCCCCGAAAGCUAUUUAGGUAGCGCCUCGUGAAUUCAUCUCCGGGGGUAGAGCACUGUUUCGGCAAGGGGGUCAUCCCGACUUACCAACCCGAUGCAAACUGCGAAUACCGGAGAAUGUUAUCACGGGAGACACACGGCGGGUGCUAACGUCCGUCGUGAAGAGGGAAACAACCCAGACCGCCAGCUAAGGUCCCAAAGUCAUGGUUAAGUGGGAAACGAUGUGGGAAGGCCCAGACAGCCAGGAUGUUGGCUUAGAAGCAGCCAUCAUUUAAAGAAAGCGUAAUAGCUCACUGGUCGAGUCGGCCUGCGCGGAAGAUGUAACGGGGCUAAACCAUGCACCGAAGCUGCGGCAGCGACGCUUAUGCGUUGUUGGGUAGGGGAGCGUUCUGUAAGCCUGUGAAGGUGUGCUGUGAGGCAUGCUGGAGGUAUCAGAAGUGCGAAUGCUGACAUAAGUAACGAUAAAGCGGGUGAAAAGCCCGCUCGCCGGAAGACCAAGGGUUCCUGUCCAACGUUAAUCGGGGCAGGGUGAGUCGACCCCUAAGGCGAGGCCGAAAGGCGUAGUCGAUGGGAAACAGGUUAAUAUUCCUGUACUUGGUGUUACUGCGAAGGGGGGACGGAGAAGGCUAUGUUGGCCGGGCGACGGUUGUCCCGGUUUAAGCGUGUAGGCUGGUUUUCCAGGCAAAUCCGGAAAAUCAAGGCUGAGGCGUGAUGACGAGGCACUACGGUGCUGAAGCAACAAAUGCCCUGCUUCCAGGAAAAGCCUCUAAGCAUCAGGUAACAACAAAUCGUACCCCAAACCGACACAGGUGGUCAGGUAGAGAAUACCAAGGCGCUUGAGAGAACUCGGGUGAAGGAACUAGGCAAAAUGGUGCCGUAACUUCGGGAGAAGGCACGCUGAUAUGUAGGUGAAGCGACUUGCUCGUGGAGCUGAAAUCAGUCGAAGAUACCAGCUGGCUGCAACUGUUUAUUAAAAACACAGCACUGUGCAAACACGAAAGUGGACGUAUACGGUGUGACGCCUGCCCGGUGCCGGAAGGUUAAUUGAUGGGGUUAGCGGUAACGCGAAGCUCUUGAUCGAAGCCCCGGUAAACGGCGGCCGUAACUAUAACGGUCCUAAGGUAGCGAAAUUCCUUGUCGGGUAAGUUCCGACCUGCACGAAUGGCGUAAUGAUGGCCAGGCUGUCUCCACCCGAGACUCAGUGAAAUUGAACUCGCUGUGAAGAUGCAGUGUACCCGCGGCAAGACGGAAAGACCCCGUGAACCUUUACUAUAGCUUGACACUGAACAUUGAGCCUUGAUGUGUAGGAUAGGUGGGAGGCUUUGAAGUGUGGACGCCAGUCUGCAUGGAGCCGACCUUGAAAUACCACCCUUUAAUGUUUGAUGUUCUAACGUUGGCCCGUAAUCCGGGUUGCGGACAGUGUCUGGUGGGUAGUUUGACUGGGGCGGUCUCCUCCUAAAGAGUAACGGAGGAGCACGAAGGUUGGCUAAUCCUGGUCGGACAUCAGGAGGUUAGUGCAAUGGCAUAAGCCAGCUUGACUGCGAGCGUGACGGCGCGAGCAGGUGCGAAAGCAGGUCAUAGUGAUCCGGUGGUUCUGAAUGGAAGGGCCAUCGCUCAACGGAUAAAAGGUACUCCGGGGAUAACAGGCUGAUACCGCCCAAGAGUUCAUAUCGACGGCGGUGUUUGGCACCUCGAUGUCGGCUCAUCACAUCCUGGGGCUGAAGUAGGUCCCAAGGGUAUGGCUGUUCGCCAUUUAAAGUGGUACGCGAGCUGGGUUUAGAACGUCGUGAGACAGUUCGGUCCCUAUCUGCCGUGGGCGCUGGAGAACUGAGGGGGGCUGCUCCUAGUACGAGAGGACCGGAGUGGACGCAUCACUGGUGUUCGGGUUGUCAUGCCAAUGGCACUGCCCGGUAGCUAAAUGCGGAAGAGAUAAGUGCUGAAAGCAUCUAAGCACGAAACUUGCCCCGAGAUGAGUUCUCCCUGACCCUUUAAGGGUCCUGAAGGAACGUUGAAGACGACGACGUUGAUA